CUCUAUGCUGUUUCUGGCCCGUGCUGAUGUAGCAUUUUUGAAAGCUUGAGAAUCCAAAUGCUAUGGGAGAGCUGGGAUUCAUUUCUCCCCCUUGGGGAAAAGCUGCAUCAUAGCUCUUGCCCAGGCAUUGCAUGCCCUGAUCCUUUAUGACUACCAAAGCCGCAUCUCUUCAUCAUGUGUAGCCUACAGGGGCAGGAGAAAGGGAGGGUGGACUAGAGAAAGGGAGGUCGGGAGAUAGCAAUGCCAAGGAAGAUACACUAUCCUCAGGCAUGGGAAGAUUUGUUUUAUGGUGUUGUCUCCAUUAGAAAGUCAUGUUAUCCAUGGGGAGAAAGAAAACAUCAAAAGAAAGAGACUCUUUCAAGCAAAAUUAUUCCCCACAUGCCCUGCUGGGUAACUAUGCAUGAAUUUAGGACAGUUUUCUGAUUUUUGUUUUUCUGAGAAUUGGUAUAAGGUAUAAAGAAAUCUAGAGAUUAAUUAAAUUAAAUAACAACCUAUGGAUAGGAGUUCUAGUUAUCAAAUUGGACAGGCUCCUUGUCUUCUUGGCUUUUUUUAUUUUCCUUUGGCAGUGGUUCACGCACUACCCCAUGUUUCAAACUGUAAAGCACUGUGUUGAGAUCUACUUAUUCACAAUUUGUGUUCUUUCAGCCUUGCCUAUCUUAUAGUUCAGUCAGUCCUGCAGUGAUCUCAACCCUUUUCCUAUUGGGCUCCUGCCAGGCUCACACAGGGACAUCUUGACAAUAUGGAGCAUCAGGACUAUGCUACACACCUUCUGCUUCUUAGGAGGCCCUUGGCAGGGGCCCCACGUGCAUGUACAACCUGGAAAUGCCUACGGUUUUUGUGCCUCACAACCUACCCUUGGAGCUGACAUGAAGCCCUCAAACCACAGUGCUGGGAAGAGCGGAAUGGAUGGUGGGACCCAACCACAAUUUCCUCUACAGUGACUAAACCUUGAGAAAGAUUCUCUAAAGUAGUUACUAGAUGAAAGGAGGAAAAGGCAUAGAAGAUGUGGAUGAUUGAGGAAAUGCAUAAAGAAGAACUCACUGGUAGCAGCUAGCUGUUUCUGAGUAGGAUGUUGAACCCACCUCUCUGGACGUCCACAGAGAUUCACUGAAGCCUGUGUAUAAACAUCAAGAAUAAUCUUAAAGUUAUUUGGAUGAUGGCAGAUGACUCCU